rnacentral:misc_RNA from 1 species
AAUGCCCUUUUCCUGAAGGACCUGUAUGGUAAGCAAAAUUUAAAAAAGCAGGUUAAAUUGUUGUGUUCUUGUAUCUACACCUCCAAGGGUCGUUUUAGAAACCUCAUGCAUAUGAGAUGAAUUCGUUUGGCAUGCCAAAGUAUUUGAAAGCAGAGAUCUGAAUGGACAUUUUUCGUUGAAAAAAAAAUAAAAUAAAACAUGCAGAUAUCAAACUGCGCAAUCCGACAAGGCUACAAGUCCUACACAUGAUAUUAAAUGAUCCAGACCUGAUAUUCUAAAGCAAUAUGGGAACUAAGACUCAUUAUAUAUAAACGCUUGAAUGUGUAUCAUACAAAAACCUAGAAAUAAU